rnacentral:rRNA from 1 species
UACGAAGGGGGCUAGCGUUGCUCGGAAUUACUGGGCGUAAAGCGCACGUAGGCGGCUUUCUAAGUCGGGGGUGAAAUCCUGGAGCUCAACUCCAGAACUGCCUUCGAUACUGGAGAGCUUGAGUCCGGGAGAGGUGAGUGGAACUGCGAGUGUAGAGGUGAAGUUCGUAGAUAUUCGCAAGAACACCAGUGGCGAAGGCGGCUCACUGGCCCGGUACUGACGCUGAGGUGCGAAAGCGUGGGGAGCAAACAGG